GGGCCCUGCCUCCCCUACAUGACAUCAUCACCCUGGCGUUAUAGGUUGUCUGCAACGCAUUCUUAAAAAAAAAAAAAUAGAUAUUUUAAUUUAUAUUUUUUUGCCCAAUAAUUGUAAAUGGAAUUUGAUGUUUUGAAUAAUUUCUGCUGGUCUGUAAUUAAAAUCUGGAUUAUGUGA